GCCAAUAAAAAGAUGAUUUACUUUGCAUUUUACUUUAGUUGGGUUAAGACGUUUGAGAUGGCAUCAUCAAAGAAGAAAAGUUUGCGUGAUAUCCUGCGAGAAAUAAACUUAGAACACCUCAUCGAUAAUUUUGAACGAGAAAAGACCUAGCAAGCAAGAUUCAUUUACUGUCGGAAGCGGUCCUUCAACAUCGGCAUCGACAGGGUCAACAUCCUACAGUCAGUAUUGCUCAAUAUUAGAUGAAUCAAUUCUUCUAUCUUCCGACGAUUAUGAUGAUGAUAUUUCAGUUGCAAUUAUGCGCAGCCUGAUGGAUGAAAAACCAACGCUGCCCCUGCUGCUGAUUUGUUCAGCUCCUUAAGAGCAUCUUUGCCCGAGGGCAACCAAACAACAUUUUUUAAUAUAUGCAGAACCAGAGUGUGGGAUGGAGCAUUGAGAGGUCUAAGAAGAAAAUCUUUUUCAGCAAGCAAUCCAAUUUCAGUUAAAUUUACAGACUCAAUUGGCCAGAUUGAAGGUGCUAUAGACGUAGGUGGGCCCCGAAGGGAAUUUUUUUCACUUGUCCUGAACCAUAUACAACAUAGUAGCCUUUUUGAAGGGCCACCUACCAGCAGAGUCCUUUCACUUGGUGGUCAAGCCAUGGAGAAUGAUCACUAUUACUAUGCUGGACAGCUAAUGGCGAUGUCACUGGUACAUGGUGGACCUUCACCGACAUUUUUAUCCACAACUUUAUACGA